CAGCAGCAAGGGACACUGUGGGGCUGCAGGGCCCAGCAAAACAACAACAACAACAACAACAAAAACACUUUCAAACUCCCCUACAUGGUAAUUCUCAGAGUGGAACAUAUACAGACAGGCUCAUAGUAGGAAGAAAAGAAAAAGAAAAGGAAGACAGCUCCACAACACACAAUGCUAGGCCAGAGGAUUACCCCAAAGAUCUACAGUCACUCAGACUCUUGGACUCAAAGAAUAGCAGACCAACAGCAGCAAUCAGCACCACCUGGGAGCUGUUAGAAAUUCAGCAUCUCAGGCUCCAUCCCAGAUUUACUGACUCUGAAUCUGCAUUUUAACAGGACACCAGGUCAUCCGCAUGCACGUGGAAGCUUCAGAAACACAGAGUUAAACUUCGCGUAGUGGAACGGCGAGUGGUGUUCUUCUGGGUUGCCUUUGCUAGUUUGCAUGUUUUCCAACUGUCCAUGACGUCUCCACAUCAAACGCCCUCCUGAAUAGUGGCUCUCAGCUGAAUAAUUGGUCGUCUAAUGCCUAAGUUGUUAAACAAAACAAACUUUGAAAGUCAGCUUUUUUUUUUUACAAGCCUUAGCUCACAGUGGCCUUUUGCUUCCUGCUGUUUUUCUUACGUAUCCGGGCUGUUCUGUUCUGUUUCUGCGUGGCCUUUGCCUUGUAUCCACCAUUGGUAUAGCGUGGUGAUAUGCUUUCUUUCUUUGAAUUUGCUUUAAUUUUUAAUAUUAUAUAUAUGGUACCUGAGAUAUUUUGAUACAAGGAUACAAUGUGUAAUAACCACAUCAAGGUAAAUGGGGUUCCAUCACCUCAAGAAUUUAUCCUUUCUUUGUGUUACAAACGUUCCAAUUAUACUCUUUUAGUUCUUUUAAAAUGUACAAUAAAUUAUUGUUGACUGUAGUACCUUGUUGUGCUAUGAAUCUUUUUUUUUUUUUUUUUUUUUUUUUUGAGAUGGGGUCUUGCUCUCUCACCGAGACUGGGGUGCAGUGGCCUGAUCUCAGCUCACCACAACCUCUGCCUCCCAGGCUCAAGCAAUUCUCCUGCCUCAGCCUCCCAAGUAGCUGGGACUACAGGGAUGCGCCACUACUGCCUAGCUAAUUUUUGUAUUUUUAGUAGAGACAGGGUUUCACCAUGUUGGCCAGAUUGGUCUCAAACUCCUGACCUCAAAUGAUCCACCUGCCUCAGCCUCCCAAAGUGCUGGGAUUACAGGCAUGAGGCAUCCCACCUGGCAGGAUACUAGAUCUUAUUAACUCUAUCUAACUCUAUUUUUGUACCCAUUAACGAUGAUAUGCUUUCUGGACAGGCAGACUUAUUCUUUGCUAAUGCCUCCUUUUCUUCCAAUAUCAUUUGCAAUUGCAUGGUUAUUUGGCUUCUUAUACCACCCUAUCCCCACCUGUUGUUUGCUAUUCCCCCACCUCUCAAUCACAGGUUUAUUGUAAUUUUGGUUAAAUCACUUUAAUUGUCUUCAUAUUGUUAAUUACACAUCUAAUAUAUUAUAGUUCCUUUCUUUUAUAAUUAAUUGCUAAUUAUGGAUUUAACCAUCGCUUAAAUUUAAGUGCUGAAAUCACUUUCAUUUUCUUAGGCAUUUAUGUGCCUCUAGCCAGUUCUUCCCAUUUUCUCCGUAGCUUCUCAAUAUAAUUUUCUACAUGAUGAAGUAAAUUUUAAUUUUCUUAUGAUUCUAUGUAUGUGUAGAUAAUUCUUCCCAUGCCCUCUACAGCUUUUCAGUUAACUUUUCCAUGAGAUGAGAGAAGCUAUCGGUUGUCAUUUUGUUCCAGAGACAUCCCUCCUUGGAGCCGUCUGGCUUCCUGUUGUAAUUGGAACGAAUUGACAGACAGGCCAGCGGCCCAGCUGACAUUCUGGGGCUUCCUUUCAUUAUCAUCUUGCUUAUCAGUGUGGGUCCAAUCAGGAGACAGAAAAAGGGGAAGUUUAAUAUAAGCAAUUAUUAAACUAUUAUAGGAGAAUAACUAUAAAGAUGUAAAGAAAACAAAAACGGGUACCCGAGGGUUGGGAGAAAGGCCCUAAGGAGGGGCUGCCUGGAGGGGCGCUUCUUCCCCAGGUUGCAUCCUUGCUGAGAAGGUGCGGUUGCAGACUCCUCGAUGGCAAGGGAGUUUCUGGGCUACUGGGGCCUGA
rnacentral:lncRNA from 1 species